rnacentral:snRNA from 1 species
GUGCUCGUUUCGGCACCACAUAUACUAAAAUUGGAAAGAUACAGAGGUUAGCAUGGCCCCUGCGCAAAGACGACACGCAAAUUCGUGAAGUGUUCCAUAUUUUA